rnacentral:rRNA from 1 species
CCUACGGGUGGCAGCAGUGGGGAAUAUUGGACAAUGGGGGGAACCCUGAUCCAGCCAUGCCGCGUGUGUGAAGAAGGCCCUCGGGUUGUAAAGCACUUUCAGUGAGGAAGAACGCCUGGUGGUUAAUACCCAUCAGGAAAAACAUCACUCACAGAAGAAGCACCGGCUAACUCCGUGCCAGCAGCCGCGGUAAUACGGAGGGUGCGAGCGUUAAUCGGAAUUACUGGGCGUAAAGCGCGCGUAGGUGGCUUGAUAAGCCGGUUGUGAAAGCCCCGGGCUCAACCUGGGAACGGCAUCCGGAACUGUCAAGCUAGAGUGCAGGAGAGGAAGGUAGAAUUCCCGGUGUAGCGGUGAAAUGCGUAGAGAUCGGGAGGAAUACCAGUGGCGAAGGCGGCCUUCUGGACUGACACUGACACUGAGGUGCGAAAGCGUGGGUAGCAAACAGGAUUAGAUACCCCAGUAGUC